GACGAACGCUGGCGGCGUGCCUAAUACAUGCAAGUAGAACGCUGAAGGAGGAGCUUGCUCUUCUGGAUGAGUUGCGAACGGGUGAGUAACGCGUAGGUAACCUGCCUGGUAGCGGGGGAUAACUAUUGGAAACGAUAGCUAAUACCGCAUAAGAGUAGAUGUUGCAUGACAUUUGCUUAAAAGGUGCAAUUGCAUCACUACCAGAUGGACCUGCGUUGUAUUAGCUAGUUGGUGGGGUAACGGCUCACCAAGGCGACGAUACAUAGCCGACCUGCGAGGGUGCGCGGCCAAGCUGGGACGAGGGCACGGCCCAGAAUCCUGCGAGAGGCAGAAGUAGGGGAUCUUCGGGGAAGGAAGGAAGGCUGACCGUGGGACGCCGCGUGAGUGCAGAAGGUUGUCAGGUCGUAAAAGUCUGUUAUAAGUGAAGAACGUAUGUGAGAGUGGAAAGUGCACACUGUGACGGUAUCUGACCAGAAAGCGACGGCUAACUACGUG
rnacentral:rRNA from 1 species